rnacentral:rRNA from 1 species
UACAGAGGGGGGCAAGCGUUUAUUCGGAAUUAUUGGGCGUAAAGGGCGCGUAGGCGGCAUGGCAAGUGGAUGGUGAAAUCCCUCGGCUUAACCGAGGAACUGCCGUCCAAACUGCUUCGCUUGAGACCGGGAGAGGUGAGUGGAAUUCCCAGUGUAGCGGUGAAAUGCGCAGAUAUCAGGAGGAACACCAAUGGCGAAGGCAGCUCGCUGGGACGGUACUGACGCUGAGGCGCGAAAGCGUGGGGAGCAAACAGG